rnacentral:hammerhead_ribozyme from 1 species
AUCCAGUUGACGAGUCCCAAAUAGGACGAAGCGGCCGUCAAACUUGAU